CAGUAGCGUAUAUUAAAGUUGUUGCAGUUAAAAUGCUCGUAGUUGAAGUUCGGAUGCAGCAGAGCUUGGAAACGCUGUUAUGGUGCUUCCGUUGCUUUUGCUUGUCCACAGUGCGUUGCAAGUACGUAUGUGCUUGUGCGUGCAUUUUACUUUUAGAAACAUAGGGUGUUCCACGCAUGUUACGGCAUGAAUAUUCCAGCAUGGGAUAAUCUGGUACGACUUCCAAUCUGCCAUUUUGGUUCGUAGGUUGGAAGUAAUGAUUAAUAGGGACUGUCGGGGGCAUUGGUAUUUGACUGUCAGAGGUGAAAUUCUUAGAUUCGUUGAGGACCAACCACUGCGAAAGCAUUUGUCAAGGAUGUCUCCAUUAA
rnacentral:rRNA from 1 species